CAGAAAUGAUGAAAUUCUACUUCAUUGGUCCGUGUUUUUGAGUUUUCUGAUAACAGUGGAAGUUCUGGUGGU